ACCUACGGGGGGCAGCAGUGGGGAAUAUUGCACAAUGGGGGAAACCCUGAUGCAGCGACGCCGCGUGAGUGAAGAAGUAUUUCGGUAUGUAAAGCUCUAUCAGCAGGGAAGAAAAUGACGGUACCUGACUAAGAAGCCCCGGCUAACUACGUGCCAGCAGCCGCGGUAAUACGUAGGGGGCAAGCGUUAUCCGGAUUUACUGGGUGUAAAGGGAGCGUAGACGGGGAUGCAAGUCAGAAGUGAAAGCCCGCGGCUCAACUGCGGGACUGCUUUUGAAACUGUAUGACUGGAGUGCAGGAGAGGUA
rnacentral:rRNA from 1 species